UACACACCGCCCGUCACACCAUGGGAGUUGGCUUUACCUGAAGACGGUGCGCUAACCGCAAGGAGGCAGCCGGCCACGGUAGGGUCAGUGACUGGGGUG
rnacentral:rRNA from 1 species